rnacentral:lncRNA from 1 species
UCUACCUGCAAAUGACACCCAACGCACCAUCCAGGCACACCCUUGCUCUAUGCCUUGCAACUCCAUCAACCAUCAACCACCAUGAGAGGUUGAAAAUGACUGUGAAUAUGCCUGCCAGCUGUUCUGCGCAUGCUCUGAGAACGUGCCCUGGAAUACCAUGUUGUGAGAGCGAGAUCACCCAAACCUCUGGGUGGGUGACGGCCCUCACACCCGGCUCGAUGUUGUUGUUGUCAAAGCGUGUAUAAAAUGCGUUGUGUUCGUCUGGUAGAGGCGUCAUUGGGCAGAUCACGGUUGGGUCUUCCCUUGUAAUCCGUAAUGGACUGUAGCCCCUGCCACAUGCAGCGGGCGUCAGAGCCUGUGAAAUAUUAUUCCUAUAUUGUUCUUUUGCUCAUUUGAUUACACUGCGGAGGUUAUAGCAGGCCUUUUUGUACUUAUUCCUGUCUUCGAGCGUAGCAUCAGGGUUGUCUACGAUAGCUUUGUGUGCGGUAGCCCUGUUCUUUAGUUUGGCGCCAACCUCUUGGUGUCAUCAAGGCCAGAAGAACCUUUGUAUAAAAUCAGCAUUUCCAUUAGUAUUGAACAGGAACAUAAAGUCUAUCAAAUGUGUACUGUAACAACUGUGUAGCCCAGGGUUUCAGGCGGGUAAAUAUACACACGUAAACCGUGUAGCCGCCAUAAGGCCUUCUGCAUCUGCGGUGGAAGGUGGGCAAGCUACAGCGGUGUUUGUCCCACUGUGAGACAUCCUGAAUAUCUUCUCACGAAAACCACUCUAGCGGCCGAACAGUUUGGCCUAGAAACUAACAUGACCACUUGAUGGAAAGAUGAGACUCUCAUGAACACGAUGGUAUUAGUUAGUUAGUUGCUCUACCACAAGUGUCCUCUGGAGGUAACCCUGAAGCACAGACUGCAAUAUGUUCCGGGAUUCCUCCGAUGGCAUUGAGGAGUACACCACAUCAGUCACCGGCUUCAUCAAUAAGUGCAUCGAUGACGUCAUCCCCACAGUGACUUCUUUCCCGGUUUUUACCUUUCGGCCUGCCUGCCGUUCUAUAUCGUGCCACACCUCUCUGGAUUAUUGACCCCUGCCUGCCCUGACCCUGAGACUGCCUGCCGUUCUGGACCUGUUGCACCCUUUCUGGAUUACUGACCUCUGCCUGCCCUUGACCUGUCGUUUGCCUGCCCCUGUACUAUAAAUAAACUUUUGUUACUUUGACACUGUUUGCAUCUGUGUCAUACCUGAAACCUGAG